rnacentral:hammerhead_ribozyme from 1 species
AUCCAACUGACGAGUCCCAAAUAGAAGUUGACGCGUGUCCUGGAU